UGGAGAGAUGGCUGAGUGGUCGAAAGCGACAGAUUGCUAAUCCGUUGUACGACACAAACGUACCGAGGGUUCGAAUCCCUCUCUCUCCGU
rnacentral:tRNA from 1 species